GGCCGGUUAGCUCAGUCAGUUGAGUGUGGCGCUAACAACGCCAAGGUCGCAAGUUCACUUCCUGUUCGGUCC
rnacentral:tRNA from 1 species